CCUUGAUGGCGACCGGCGCACGGGUGAGUAACGCGUAUGCAACCUGCCCGAUACCGGGGUAUAGCCCAUGGAAACGUGGAUUAACACCCCAUAGUACUUUUAUCCUGCCUGGGAUGGGAGUUAAAUGUUCAAGGUAUCGGAUGGGCAUGCGUCCUAUUAGUUAGUUGGCGGGGUAACAGCCCACCAAGACGAUGAUAGGUAGGGGUUCUGAGAGGAAGGCCCCCCACAUUGGAACUGAGACACGGUCCAA
rnacentral:rRNA from 1 species